rnacentral:sRNA from 1 species
GACAGCAGAUUCUUCGUUCCUAUUAGGUU